rnacentral:antisense_RNA from 1 species
GUCCUCUAAAGCAACUUCCGUGGGUGCCAGGUUAUGGGCUGGGGGCGGUGCUGACCUUGAGAGAGCGGAGGAAGCGCAGGCGCAGCACAGUUUAAACUUGGUUUUGUGGGGGGACGAACAGCGUGACAAUUAAAGAAGAUGUAGGAAUCAUCCAAUGUGAUCAUUUAUGUGAAAUCUUUCUGCAAACUAUACAGUAUGAUAAAAAUAUAAGGUAGUUUUACUGGAAACAACAGAAGACUAGAAGCUGAUGUGAAAUGGCAAUAUCAACCAGGAAUACCCAUCUCGAGUUCUGGAUAUGUCCUUUGAGAAGUUGCCCAUGUCACCGAUCACACUGGAGGCCAAUGCAGAUACUGUGGGAAGGUUCCAUGGUAGCUAAGUGUGGACAAGCUAAUCACUGAAGUUCCCUGAUGCAGAGCUGAUAAUCUCUUUAGAGUUGGAUGGAAGACUGUGCUGCCUUGAAGUUCUGAGAGAUGCCAUGCCAAUUCAAGGCAAGGUCUUUAUUGUUGAAACUCUUCCAUAAUGACAUCUUUAUUCAGGUGAAAAUACAGGAUGAAUUUCAACUGUAUGAUAUUGUUUAUGUUCAUCAGACAUGUUAUUUCUCUUUACAAAGAUUGGUUUCAAUAAACUGGCUGUGUGACUGAUAUUAAAUAAACAUGGAAUUUUACACAUUCAUAAUAUUUGGUUUCU